rnacentral:rRNA from 1 species
CCGAGUUUACACUCCCAAACCCCUGUGAAUUACCUAUACGUUGCCUCGGCGGAUCAGCCCGCGCCCCGUAAAACGGGACGGCCCGCCCGAGGACCCUAAACUCUGUUUUUAGUGGAACUUCUGAGUAAAACAAACAAAUAAAUCAAAACUUUCAACAACGGAUCUCUUGGUUCUGGCAUCGAUGAAGAACGCAGCAAAAUGCGAUAAGUAAUGUGAAUUGCAGAAUUCAGUGAAUCAUCGAAUCUUUGAACGCACAUUGCGCCCGCCAGUAUUCUGGCGGGCAUGCCUGUUCGAGCGUCAUUUCAACCCUCAAGCUCAGCUUGGUGUUGGGACUCGCGGUAACCCGCGUUCCCCAAAUCGAUUGGCGGUCACGUCGAGCUUCCAUAGCGUAGUAAUCAUACACCUCGUUACUGGUAAUCGUCGCGGCCACGCCGUAAAACCCCAACUUCUGAAUGUUGACCUCGGAUCAGGUAGGAAUACCCGCUG